UACGGGGGGGGUAAGCGUUGUUCGGAAUUACUGGGCGUAAAGGGCUCGUAGGCGGCCAACUAAGUCCGACGUGAAAUCCCCGGGCUCAACCCGGGAACUGCGUCCGAUACUGGAAGGCUUGAAUCCGGGAGAGGGAUGCGGAAUUCCAGGUGUAGCGGUGAAAUGCGUAGAUAUCUGGAGGAACACCGGUGGCGAAGGCGGCAUCCUGGACCGGCAUUGACGCUGAGGCGCGAAAGCCAGGGGAGCAAACGGG
rnacentral:rRNA from 1 species